CCCCGGGGGCCUGGCUCCUUCCUGAGUCCCCCCCGAGGUCUGGCUUCCCGAGGGGACCCCCUGGCUCCCGGGGGGUGGUAUUUGGGUUGAAGGGGGGGGUCCAGACCCUACCGUGCCCCCCCCAGGGGGGGGUCUCGCCGGGUGCUGGUUUGCCGACGCUUUGGGGCUGCCCCUCGCCAGCCUCCGGCAGUACCCACCCGGACCCCCCCGGGGCUUUGAGGGGCCCCCCCCGGGGUCUGAACCCAGUGGGGAAAGGGGGGGCUGCGAGGGGUUAAGGGGGGAUCCGGGGGGAGGGGGCAGGACCCCGAGAGCUGGAUGAGGCCGGGGCAGGGCAGGCCACAAGAGGUGGAGGAGGAGCAGCCCCCACCCCUCUGCUGCAGCGCAGACCCUGACCCCGAACCUGCCCCAUCGCUGCCCCCCUGGAAGCAGAGCAGCCCCCAACACAGAACGCUGAGGACGAGGCCGUGGCCCGCGAGCUGGAGCAGCUUUACCUCUCCCACCUCCGCCGCCUCCGGGGGGGGCCAGGGGACAACACAGCCCCCCCCCCAACCUGCAGGGCCCCCCCUUACCCGAGCGAGGCCCCAACACCUCUCUCGCAGCCGAAAUGGCGCUCCAUCACGAGGGGCGGGGGGGGGAGGACGUCGAAGCCCCCCGGAGUUACGAGGG
rnacentral:lncRNA from 1 species